GAACAUAGCUCAGUUGGGAGAGCAAGAGGCUCGUAAUCUCAGUGUAGUGGGUUUGAGUCCUGUGUUCAGCA